GCCAGGGUUCACGGGUUACACCUGCUAAUGGACAAUUAUUUGCUCUUUAAAUAUGAGUGCUCUACAGUAAGAUUGUAAACUUUAAUUAUAUGUGUCUGUUUUUGCAGUGACUCAAUGUGGAUUGUGAAGACACAGAAGGGGACGCAUUUGGAUCUUGAAUCAUGAAUGUUGAAUCUUGAUGCUCACAGAAAAGGAAGUCAACCAGACAGGCUCUGAAAAUUGAUGAAAUGGAACAAAUUAUUUGGACAAGACACUA